GUCCACGACGGAGCGAAGACCCUCACCCUUAGUUGCGACCGCGAAACGGGCACACUAAGGGGACCGCCACCGUUAAGGUGGAGGAAGGAGGGGGCAACGGCAGGUCAGCAUGCCCCGAAUCACCUGGGCCGCACGCGGGCUGCAAUGGUGGAAACAAUGGGAUCCGAACCCGAAAGGGGGAGGUAAUCCUUGAAACUCCCCGUAUUGGGAUCGAGGGCUGCACCCGCCCUCGUGAACUUGGGAAUCCCAGUAAUCGCCGUGUCAUCAUCGCCGCGGUUGAACAAGUCCCCGCUUCUUUGUACACACCCCC
rnacentral:rRNA from 1 species